rnacentral:rRNA from 1 species
UACAGAGGUCCCAAGCGUUGUUCGGAUUCACUGGGCGUAAAGGGUGCGUAGGCGGUCGGGUAAGUCUGAUGUGAAAUCUCCAAGCUCAACUUGGAAAUGGCAUCGGAUACUAUUCGGCUAGAGGAAUGGAGGGGAGACUGGAAUACUUGGUGUAGCAGUGAAAUGCGUAGGUAUCAAGUGGAACACCAGUGGCGAAGGCGAGUCUCUGGACAUUUCCUGACGCUGAGGCACGAAAGCCAGGGGAGCAAACGGG